GCCGGAGUGGCGAAAUUGGUAGACGCAGUUGAUUCAAAAUCAACCGCCUUCGGGUGUGCCGGUUCGAGUCCGGCCUUCGGCACCA
rnacentral:tRNA from 29 species